UACGGGGGGGGCAAGCGUUGUCCGGAUUUAUUGGGCGUAAAGAGCUCGUAGGUGGUUCGGUAAGUCGGAUGUGAAAUCUCCAGGCUCAACCUGGAGGGGUCAUUCGAUACUGCCGUGACUAGAGGUCGGUAGGGGAGUGUGGAAUUCCUGGUGGAGCGGUGAAAUGCGCAGAUAUCAGGAGGAACACCCGUAGCGAAGGCGGCACUCUGGGCCGAUACUGACACUGAGGAGCGAAAGCGUGGGGAGCGAACAGG
rnacentral:rRNA from 1 species